rnacentral:rRNA from 1 species
CAGUAGCCACGGUAAUACAGAGGGUGCGAGCGUUAAUCGGAUUUACUGGGCGUAAAGCGUGCGUAGGCGGCUUUUUAAGUCGGAGGUGAAAUCCCUGAGCUUAACUUAGGAAUUGCAUUCGAUACUGGGAAGCUAGAGUAUGGGAGAGGAUGGUAGAAUUCCAGGUGUAGCGGUGAAAUGCGUAGAGAUCUGGAGGAAUACCGAUGGCGAAGGCAGCCAACUGGCCUAAUACUGACGCUGAGGUACGAAAGCAUGGGGAGCAAACAGGAUUAGAUACCCCUGUAGUCCCUGUCUCUUAUAA